rnacentral:rRNA from 1 species
UACGUAGGGGGCAAGCGUUGUCCGGAUUUAUUGGGCGUAAAGAGCGUGUAGGCGGCCAUGUAGGUUCCGUUGUGAAAACUCGAGGCUCAACCUCGAGACGCCGAAUGGAAACCAUGUGGCUAGAGUCCGGAAGAGGAGAGUGGAACUGCGAGUGUAGAGGUGAAAUUCGUAGAUAUUCGCAAGAACACCAGUGGCGAAGGCGGCUCACUGGCCCGGUACUGACGCUGAGGUGCGAAAGCGUGGGGAGCAAACAGG